UACGGAGGGGGCUAGCGUUGUUCGGAAUUACUGGGCGUAAAGCGCGUGUAGGCGGCUUGGCAAGUCGGGUGUGAAAGCCCUCAGCUCAACUGAGGAAGUGCGCCCGAAACUGCUGAGCUUGAGUGCCGGAGAGGGUGGCGGAAUUCCCCAAGUAGAGGUGAAAUUCGUAGAUAUGGGGAGGAACACCGGUGGCGAAGGCGGCCACCUGGACGGUAACUGACGCUGAGACGCGAAAGCGUGGGGAGCAAACAGG
rnacentral:rRNA from 1 species